rnacentral:rRNA from 1 species
GAAAACCGGUCUCAGUUCGGAUCGCAGUCUGCAACUCGACUGCGUGAAGGUGGAGUCGCUAGUAAUCGCGGAUCAGCAUGCCGCGGUGAAUACGUUCCCGGGCCUUGUACACACCGCCCGUCACACCAUGGGAGCCGGUAAUACCCGAAGUCAGUAGUCCAACCACGUGAGGACGCUGCCGAAGGCAGGUCUGGUGACUGGGGUGAAGUCGUAACAAGGUACC